GUAAAAAAUUGCUGUAAAAAAACGGGGAAUUUUGGACAGUAAUUUACCGUUUCUCAUAAAUACAGUUGAAUACUGUAAAUAAACAAUAAUAUGACAAACAAAAUAAUAACAGCAAGCUCCUGUUCAGUCUUACGGGAUAAUACAGUAUUUUUUGGUUUGGUCAGGCAUGUCAAACAUGUGACGAGCUCAUCUGCAACCAUGAGUAAAACUGAUUUAACUACACUGUUUUUCUGCAUUUUAUUAUACGAGAAGGAAGCAGAAUUAAAGACUAUCUAUCCAUUUUCACUCCGAUUGUGACCCUACCAGCACUGAGACGGACGACGAAUUCACUUGUUUUUUACUCCUCGCCUGUAUAUCAAGUUGCUGGUGAUGAAGUAACAUUUGGAGGUUGGAUGAUCAGCAGUAAAAACAUCAUCAUCUGUGAAGGCAAGAUGAAGCUGCGAGGACACUGGAGUUUGUUCAAAGAUGCUUAAUUGGUGUGAACCCUAAGAGGUGAACAAAAGCCAGGCAGGUGAAGGUGUCCGAGAAGACAGGAAAGCUUGUCCAGAAAAACGCAGCAACUGUUAAUCCCCAUGUGACCACCCUCAUCAAAAACUUCAUGGACUUUGAGUGGCUUUCACAUUGUAUUCUGCAGUGUUGUGAUAUUUAUGUGACAUCACAGCAUUAUGUUUUAUUCAGCCCAGUCUCAUUAGUGAGGCAGAAACUGACAUUUAAGAAUGCACUGAAUUUUGUUAUAUUUAAUAAAAACAGUGUUUUAUCAUCAUCCUUUGUUUGAGAAUUUUUUUGCAAGCAAUUUUAAGUGUUUAUUUUAAAAUUACAUUUUAACAAUGCUAGAAAAAUCACAUUCUACAGUAUAAAUAACAGCAGGAACCCUAAAAUAACAGUAUAAUGCAUCCAAACAUCUGACAGUAUUAUACUGUGCAGCUCCCUUUUUUUACAGUACUGUCUCGUAAUAUUUGUACAGUAAAAAACUGUUGUUGUAAAUUACAGUAGGUAAUCUGUAAAAUUACAACUAUAUGCUGGCAAAUCUAGCUGCCAGUAUAUUACUGUAAUUUAACAGUGAAAUUUUUUACAGUGUAAGUAUCACUGCGCCACUGUUGCUGCGUACUGAUUUAUGAAAAUAAACACCACAGUCUUUAAUCAUAUUUUAAAUUUGUCUACAAUUGCACAAUUAAUGGCGAUAUCCAGAUAAAUGUCAAUAAAUAUUGUUGAGUAAUCUCGUCGAUAAAGACAAAACGUUGUCUGAGGAGUUUAUAACUCAAGUUCAUAUGUCCGCUAUUAUCCACUGGGUGGCUAUCUUACCCAACUUAAACACUGACGCAUUCACUUAACACUGAAAACACAGCGUUUAAGAUUUGAUGGCUUUGAAUCUGAUCUCUUACUAAAGUUCUUCACAAAAAUGGAAUUAUCUCUGCUUUUAGCUAAAAAAUUUGAGAGGUGAUAAGAGAACAAAUGAAGGUAGGAUGAAACGUUUUUUUUGUUUGUUUGUUUGAAAGCGGAUGGUCUGUUUUUUCAUUUGAUAUUUUAUGUUUAUUUAAAGAAGAUAAUUUUUCUGCAAGGCAUUAAACUAAAACUGGGUGGCAAAAAAAGAGUUCAGCAUGCUUCCAAGCAUAUUUGAUCAUCACUUCAACAGUUGCACAAUAUCAAUGUUAAUGUAUAAAUUAGAUGAAUGUUGGUUUAUAAAAUAAACACCACAGUCUCAAAUCAUAUUUUCAUUUUGUCUUUGCUGCAUCUGUGUUGGUUGGUAACUGCGCUCUGUUUCAGUCACAGUUGAUUCUGGGGAACUACUUUGUUUGGCGGAAGAGUAAUAUUUGUACUAAUAUAAUUACAACUUAUUUGUGUUUUAUUUAAAAAAAUCCCGCUAAUGUUAUGCAUAUGAAGUA